rnacentral:rRNA from 1 species
GACGAACGCUGGCGGCGUGCUUAACACAUGCGAGUCGAACGGAAAGGCCCUGCUUUUGUGGGGUGCUCGAGUGGCGAACGGGUGAGUAACACGUGAGUAACCUGCCCUUGACUUUGGGAUAACUUCAGGAAACUGGGGCUAAUACCGGAUAGGAGCUCCUGCUGCAUGGUGGGGGUUGGAAAGUUUCGGCGGUUGGGGAUGGACUCGCGGCUUAUCAGCUUGUUGGUGGGGUAGUGGCUUACCAAGGCUUUGACGGGUAGCCGGCCUGAGAGGGUGACCGGCCACAUUGGGACUGAGAUACGGCCCAGACUCCUACGGGAGGCAGCAGUGGGGAAUAUUGCACAAUGGGCGGAAGCCUGAUGCAGCAACGCCGUGUGCGGGAUGACGGCCUUCGGGUUGUAAACCGCUUUCGCCUGUGACGAAGCGUGAGUGACGGUAAUGGGUAAAGAAGCACCGGCUAACUAC